AUUGAACGCUGGCGGCAGGCCUAACACAUGCAAGUCGAGCGAGCGGCGGACGGGUGAGUAAUGUCUGGGAAACUGGCUGAUGGAGGGGGGUACCUACUGGAAACGGUAGCUAAUACCGCAUACCAUCAGAUGUGCCCAGAUGGGAUUAGCUGGUAGGUGGGGUAAUGGCCCACCUAGGCGACGAUCCCUAGCCGGUCUGAGAGGCUGACCAGCGACACGAGACCUGAGACACGGUCCAGGCGCCUAAGGGAGGCAGCAGUGGGGAAUAUGGGACAAUGGGCGCAAGCCUGACGCAGCCAUGCCGCGUGUGUGAAGAAGGCCUGCGGUUUGUAAAGCACUUUCAGCGGGUAGGCGUUACCCGCAGAAGAAGCACCGGCUAACUCCGUGCCAGCAGCCGCGGUAAUUC
rnacentral:rRNA from 1 species